rnacentral:rRNA from 1 species
UACGUAGGGGGCAAGCGUUGUCCGGAUUUAUUGGGCGUAAAGAGCGUGUAGGCGGUUUGGUAGGUCCGCUGUGAAAACUCGAGGCUCAACCUCGAGACGCCGGUGGAAAUCAUCAGGCUAGAGUCCGGAGGAGGAGAGUGGAAUUCCUGGUGUAGCGGUGAAAUGCGCAGAUAUCAGGAAGAACACCCGUGGCUAAGGCGGCUCUCUAGUACGGUACUGACGCUGAGACGCGAAAGCGUGGGGAGCGAACAGG